CAUUAACGAACGUCGAGUUCUCCCGGCGGGCCUGGGCCCGUUUGGGAGCAACGUUGACCAUUUCGACACCGUUACCCAUUUUACACCCGUGCACGUGGCGAACAGGCCCUCGGUGACGGUUCCGUCCGUCCCGGGGGUGGGUUCACCCUCUCUCUCCCUUUGCAUUUGACCGACGCCUGUAACCGAGUAUGUAGUCGUGGCUCUACGGAGUGAAGUACGUCUUACAACUUUCAACAACGGAUCUCUUGGCUUUCGCAUCGAUGAAGAACGCCGCGAACGCGCGAAACGUAAUGUGAAUUGCAGAAUUCAGUGAAUCAUCGAAUCUUUGAACGCACCUUGCGCUCCUUGGCAUUCCGAGGAGCAUGCCUGUUUGAGUGUCGUGAAAUCCCUCGACCCCCUCGAGGCCUUUGUCGCUCCUCGCGCCUUUGGCCGUCGUCCGGGUCGGAUCUUGGACGUCUGCCGGUCCCCCGUCCCUUGCGGUAGGACCGGCUCGUCUCGAAAUGCAUCAGCUGGCUUUUCGGUCCCACGGACAGGCGUGAUAAGUGGAAACGCUCGCUCGUGUCGCUGGGAAAAAGAAGCCGGCUUCAAAGUCGUCCUCGGACGACCCCUCGGGACGAAUGUCGUCUCGUCGUUGUUCUGACCUCAAAUCAGGUGGGACUACCCGCUGAACUUAAGCAUAUCAAUAAGCGGAGGAAAAGAAACUAACGAGGAUUCCCCUAGUAACGGCGAGUGAAGCGGGAAGAGCUCAAAUUUGUAAUCUGGCGGUCUCUGGCCGUCCGAGUUGUAGUCUGGAGAAG
rnacentral:rRNA from 1 species